rnacentral:piRNA from 1 species
UAGGGCGAAUUUCAUAAAUAACUGGUCUGC